rnacentral:rRNA from 1 species
CGGGAUUGCCUCAGUAACGGCGAGUGAAGCGGCAACAGCUCAAAUUUGGAAUCUGGCCUCGCUCGGGGUCCGAGUUGUAGUUUGUAGAGGAUGCUUCGGGUGACGCACCGGCCUAAGUCCCUUGGAACGGGGUGUCGUAGAGGGUGAGAAUCCCGUCUGUGGCCGGCGGCCGACCCCGCGAGAAGCUCCUUCGACGAGUCGAGUUGUUUGGGAAUGCAGCUCUAAACGGGUGGUAAAUUUCAUCUAAAGCUAAAUACCGGCCGGAGACCGAUAGCGCACAAGUAGAGUGAUCGAAAGAUGAAAAGCACUUUGGAAAGAGAGUCAAACAGCAUGUGAAAUUGUUGAAAGGGAAGCGCCUGCGACCAGACCUGUCUCCGGGCGAUCACCCGCCGUUCUCGGCGGGGCACUCGCCCGGCAGCGGGCCAGCAUCGGUUUGGGCGGCCGGACAAAGGUCCCGGGAAUGUACCUGCCCCCCCGGGGCAGACUUAUAGCCCGGGGCGCCAUGCGGCCAGCCGGGACCGAGGACCGCGCUUCGGCUAGGAUGCUGGCGUAAUGGUCGUAGGCGGCCCGUCUUGAAACACGGACCAAGGAGUCUAACAUCUAUGCGAGUGUUUGGGCGUCAAACCCACGCGCGCAAUGAAAGUGAACGGAGGUGGGAACCCCGGCGGGCGCACCAUCGACCGAUCCAGAUGUCUUCGGAUGGAUUUGAGUAUGAGCAUAGCUGUUAGGACCCGAAAGAUGGCGAACUACACGUGGAUAGGGUGAAGCCAGAGGAAACUCUGGUGGAGGCUCGCAGCGGUUCUGACGUGCAAAUCGAUCGUCAAAUCAGCGUGUAGGGGCGAAAGACUUAUCGAGCCAUUUAGUAGCUGGUUUCGGCCGAAGUUUCCCUCAGGAUAGCAGUAACGUCUUCAGUUUUAUGAGGUAAAGCGAAUGAUUAGAGGCCUUGGGGGCGUAACGCCCUUAACCUAUUCUCAAACUUUAAAUAUGUAAGAAGUCCUUGUUACUUAGUUGAACGUGGACAUUCGAAUGCACCGUUACUAGUGGGCCAUUUUUGGUAAGCAGAACUGGCGAUGCGGGAUGAACCGAACGCGAGGUUAAGGUGCCGGAAUGCACGCUCAUCAGACACCACAACGAGACAGAGCGGGGGGCUGCAUCCGGUGGUGGGUCAACGUGGUGUCGGGCGGGGAGACCCGCGGCAGUCCUACCCAGGGCCAGGUCUUUUAUCUGCGGAGCCAGCCGGCCAUGGUGGAGGCCGGGCAAUCCGCCGCUGUUUUUCACCGAACAGCCCACAGAUUACGUGAAGACCGACCGUGCCGGCGUGCCACGGUUCGAGGUAUAAUCGGCCGGGGGAGACUUCUCCCCCGACUUCGCGCAAAAAGUGUUAGUUCAUCCAGACAGCCGGACAGUGGCCAUGGAAGUCGGAACCUGCUAAGAAGUGUGUAACAACUUACCGGCCGAAUGAACUAGCCUUGAAAAUGGAUGGCGCUCAAGCGUGCUACCCAUACCUCGCCGCCAGGGUAGGAACGACGCCCUGGCGAGUAGGCCGACGUGGAGGUCCGUGACGAAGC